rnacentral:rRNA from 1 species
GUGCACGCUGGCGGUAGGCCUAACCCAUGCAAGUCGAACGGCAGCACAGUAAGAGCUUGCUCUUACGGGUGGCGAGUGGCGGACGGGUGAGGAAUACAUCGGAAUCUACUUUUUCGUGGGGGAUAACGUAGGGAAACUUACGCUAAUACCGCAUACGACCUACGGGUGAAAGCAGGGGCUCUUCGGACCUUGCGCGAUUGAAUGAGCCGAUGUCGGAUUAGCUAGUUGGCGGGGUAAAGGCCCACCAAGGCGACGAUCCGUAGCUGGUCUGAGAGGAUGAUCAGCCACACUGGAACUGAGACACGGUCCAGACUCCUACGGGAGGCAGCAGUGGGGAAUAUUGGACAAUGGGCGCAAGCCUGAUCCAGCCAUACCGCGUGGGUGAAGAAGGCCUUCGGGUUGUAAAGCCCUUUUGUUGGGAAAGAAAAGCAGCAGGUUAAUACCCCGCUGUUCUGACGGUACCCAAAGAAUAAGCACCGGCUAACUUCGUG